GAUGAACGCUGGCGGCGUGCCUAAUACAUGCAAGUAGAACGCUGAAGGAAGGAGCUUGCUCUUUCCGGAUGAGUUGCGAACGGGUGAGUAACGCGUAGGUAACCUGCCUGGUAGCGGGGGAUAACUAUUGGAAACGAUAGCUAAUACCGCAUAACAGUAGAUGUUGCAUGACAACUAUUUGAAAGGGGCAAUUGCUCCACUACCAGAUGGACCUGCGUUGUAUUAGCUAGUUGGUGAGGUAACGGCUCACCAAGGCGACGAUACAUAGCCGACCUGAGAGGGUGAUCGGCCAAACUGGGACUGGGACACGGCCCAGACUCCUACGGGAGGCAGCAGUAGGGAAUCUUCGGCAAUGGACGGAAGUCUGACCGAGCAACGCCGCGUGAGUGAAGAAGGUUUUCGGAUCGUAAAGCUCUGUUGUAAGAGAAGAACGAGUGUGAGAGUGGAAAGUUCACACUGUGACGGUAUCUUACCAGAAAGGGACGGCUAACUACGUG
rnacentral:rRNA from 1 species